GUGUAACUUGAUUAUAAUAGGUGGAUGCUGCUUUUGGUGUGUGCAUGCCUCUUCCUUGGGAAACCUGUAUGAUGAGAAGGUCUCAGAGACAUAUAAUUGCAUAAGCAGUGUGUGGCAUUGCCUGGGUGGGUGUGACAUAAAGACAAAGUCCUCAUCAAAAACUGAUUUACUCUGCCUAUGGAUACAACUACCAACUUUGGGUUAUAUAUUAAAUUCUGAACUCCUAAAUAAAGAUAGAACAUCAUUCUUGGAUGUUAUCAUGAAGAUCUCAGUGGUUCCACACCACCAGUGCUGCAGGUAUUUCCUAAAACAAGAAACACCAGAGUGGCUAUUUGUUCAAAAUUCUCUGAGGUCGAGGAAAGAAGAGGAGAGAAAGAAAAAAUAUUUCUGAUCAAGGUAAAUCAUGAUAGGCAGCAGGGAACCUAAAAAAAAAAUGGAAAAAGGAAAGGCUCAGAGGAAACCUUGAGAAGAAGCAGAAAAUACCCAGAAUGGAUCUGAAAACUUUCAAUGAAACACAUUUUUUUGAUUAAAUUGUAUCUGUCUGAUGAAAAACAGGGUCUCUAUUUUACUAAAAACCAGCUAUCAUCAGAAAGAG
rnacentral:lncRNA from 1 species